AUUGAACGCUGGCGGCAGGCCUAACACAUGCAAGUCGAGCGCGCGGCGGACGGGAGAGUAAUGUAUGGGAAUCUGACCGAUAGAGGGGGAUAACCACUGGAAACGGUGGCUAAUACCGUAUCCUAUCGGAUGCCCCCAUGUGGGUUUAGCUAGUAGGUGGGGUAAAGGCUCACCUAGGCGACGAUCCCUAGCUGGUCUGAGAGGAUGAGCAGCCACACUGGAACUGAGACACGGCCCAGACUCCUACGGGAGGCAGCAGUGGGGAAUAUUGCACAAUGGGCGCAAGCCUGAUGCAGCCAUGCCGCGUGUAUGAAGAAGGCCUUCGGGUUGUAAAGUACUUUCAGUCGGGAGGCGUUACCGGCAGAAGAAGCACCGGCUAACUCCGUGCCAGCAGCCGCGGUAAUAC
rnacentral:rRNA from 1 species